rnacentral:guide_RNA from 1 species
ACGACGAUAUCUCAGUGUAAGUUGGUACGUGAAAUGAUGAUA